UCCAACGCACAAGUCACAACAGCCCAACACUCCAGAGCUCCUCAGAACGCCGAACGCCGAACGCCUCGCCGAACGCCGAACGCCGAACGCCGAACGCCGAACGCAGUAGAGCUUCGCCCGUCGCCGUUGCUGUGCAGCCGUCGUCGUCGCCGUGAAGCGUCGUCGUGCAACAGAACUCCUCACGAUUUCGACUGCCCCGAGGUCUACAAAAUCCUGAAGCUCUUGCAAGGGCGACAGUAUGUAUGCCAAGCAAAUUUGUGGCUUCACUUGUCAUGGCUUGUCUUGGAAAACAGUAAAUAACAUAAUCCUAUUUUGAUUGUGAAGCAAAUGGUAUUGGCUGCACUUGUUGAGUCCAGUAUGAACCUUUCAGAUGAUGUUAUACAAAGUAUCAUUGACAAGGUAACAAGGGUUUCAUUUGGGAGAUUGGAUUAAAAAAUUUUGGGUCUGUGAUUGCAUGGAACUUCCAGGAGACUAAGGAUUUUGUGCUUACAUGGCUUCCGCCAGAAUGCCUCUGGAUUUAAAGGAAGAACACUGUCAUUAGCAAAGAAACUCAAAAACAUUGUUGAACUUGUUUUCAUUAAUUUUAAAGUUCAUUGUGGAUUGAUGAUGUAUUGUUACUUGAACUUAAUGUAGAUUUAUAAUGUUUUAGAAUUAUGUUAUUUUU